UACGGGGGGGGUAAGCGUUGUUCGGAAUUACUGGGCGUAAAGCGUGCGCAGGCGGUGAUGUAAGGCAGUUGUGAAAUCCCCGGGCUCAACCUGGGAACUGCAUCUGUGACUGCAUUGCUGGAGUGCGGCAGAGGGGGAUGGAAUUCCGCGUGUAGCAGUGAAAUGCGUAGAUAUGCGGAGGAACACCGAUGGCGAAGGCAAUCCCCUGGGCCUGCACUGAUGCUCAUGCACGAAAGCGUGGGGAGCAAACAGG
rnacentral:rRNA from 1 species